rnacentral:lncRNA from 1 species
GUGUGCGCCUGAGGCUGUUGGCUGCGGUCUUGAAACGGGCUCUGGGAGCUUCCUCUGCGCGGUCGGCCCUGGCUGAGGCGUCCCGGGCUGCGCGCGGGGCUCGGCGCUGCGCAGUGUCCGGUGUCCUCUCGGUCCGGAGCUUCUCCAGAGGAGGAGCGGCUCGUGCGCCCCCAGACCUCCGGUACUGGGAGACUCGGGCCCUCCUGUAAGAGACCUGAGCGCGGAGCGUUAUGGGCACCCGGUGAAUGAGCAAAUGGCAGGGAAAACCGUGCAGCCCCAUGGACUGCGGGCUCUUCCUUCACGACUAGCAAAAGCUUUGACACCCUUUCUCCUGCGUACGCGUGUCUGUGUGCGUGUAAGCUGUGGCUGGGUGCGGGGGGCUGUGUACGUGUCUGUGUGUGGUGUGUGUGGAGUGUUUGAGGCAGGUGUGUGGUGUUUCAGGUGUGUGUGCAUGUGUGGUGUUUGAGGUGUGUGUGUGUGUUUUUGUAGUGUUUGAGGGAUAUGUGUGUGUGGUGUUUGAGGUGUGUGUAGUGUUUGAGGCACGUAUGUGUGUGGUGUUGGGUGUGUGUGGUGUUAGAGGUGUGGCGUAUGUGUGUUUGCGGUGGUUGAGGUGUGUGUGUGUGUCUGGUGUUUAGGGUGUGUCUGUUGUGUGCGUGUGGUGGUGGAGGCGUGGUGUGGUGUGGAAUGUGUGUCUGGGGUCCAGUCUGGCCUGUUGCAGGGUUACGCUGCUGGGGAAAAACUCAUCUGAGGACAACGUGAUUGGGUCCUCGCUCCCUCGUUGGGCAGCCUUGGACUUAACCUUUUUGAUCUUGAAGGAAAACACAAUAUGUCACCUCCAAAUAUAUUUCCUUGACACGGUUCAAGACAGUUACUCAGAAGGACUGGAAAUAGAAGAAUAGCUGAAAAGCUGUCUUUUGUGGGGGAGAUUUGCAUCUGUGGAGAGAAUCUACACUGAUGCGGCCAGGCCUCCUCUGAGGCCCUCCUUGCCUGAUCUGGGAAGAGUAACAGUCUGACGCCUUUAAAGGCCUGAAGGGAACAUUCACCAUCUGUUCUCUCUCAGGGCUGCUACCUGUGAGGUUUCAUCUGUAGAACAAGGCCACCUUUGCUAGCCAGGCCUCCUCUGCUCUCCCUCCUGUAACCGGUCUUGCCACUGGUCACCUGAUUUUCCACCAUAAACUGUGGCCAUACUUUGAGCCCAUGUUCUUUCUGUAACCUCAAGAUGGUAUAUAAGCUUCCGAACCCCAUUGGGAGGUUGGGGUCAUCACUCUGGUUCUCCCUGUGUGCAUGAAUAAAUCUGUAUGCCUUUUUUCUUACUAACCUGGCUUUUGUCAGUUGAUUUUCUGUGAACUCAGAAUGCAGAAAAGUUUUUCUCUAGGCUCCUACAGUUUUGGUGCAGUCGGUAGGAUAACUAAAGUCACUCUCCUGGGAGCCUCCGUCAGGGGAACCCAGGAGCCGACAAGCUGGCAGAAAGAAGGGUAAGAAGGUCUUAGCAGCCAGGCUCCCGGCCUCUCUGGAAUCUUGUCAAGCCGACGGUAAAAAUGUCUGUUUACCUUGUUUUCCUCUUCAAAGUUUUAAUGAGAGAAAUGUAUUUAUGUGAUUAGUUUUGUAUUCAUAUUGUUUGAUUGCUUU